CUAACACAUGAUGGUGCUGUUAUAAAAACAGAGACACAGUUCCAGCUGCAGAUGGAGGAAGAUGAAAUCAGUGGUUGUUUGCACUUGUUUAUCUAACUGAAGAGCUGCUUUUCCCGCUGAAAAGGACUGCUGUGUCCCCAGUGCAUCAGAAUGACCAUCACUUCAUGUGCUGCUGUUACUGCUGUGGAAAGCCUCCUAAGAGUGGCGUAAUGGAUGAGUGUAACCCCUGAGUGACCCUGUCCAAUUGGGCGCUAGCAUCUGAACUCUCACUCCAGC
rnacentral:lncRNA from 1 species